AAGUCGUAACAAGGUUUCCGUAGGUGAACCUGCGGAAGGAUCAUUAACGAAAGCAAAACGCCUCUUCGUCUGUCGCUGGCAUCCUUCACGGGGUGCAUGUGCACGUUGGAGUUGCGUCUUUCCAUCCCACCUCUGUGCACCUUCGCGUGGGCCCUUCCCCGUUGCUGGGGGGGAGCUCGCGUCCUUUUCACAAACUUAUGUAUGGACUCGGAAUGGCACAUGCGUUUACGCAACUAUAUACAACUUUCAGCAACGGAUCUCUUGGCUCUC
rnacentral:misc_RNA from 1 species